rnacentral:rRNA from 2 species
ACAGGGAUUGCCUCAGUAACGGCGAGUGAAGCGGCAAGAGCUCAAAUUUGAAAUCUGAUGUCUUUGACGUCCGAGUUGUAAUUUGAAGAGGAGUCUUCGGUUUGGACCACGAUCUAUGUUCCUUGGAACAGGACGUCGUAGAGGGUGAGAAUCCCGUACACGGUUGAUGGUCUCUUUCCAUGUGAAGUUCCUUCGAAGAGUCGAGUUGUUUGGGAAUGCAGCUCUAAAUGGGUGGUAAAUUUCAUCUAAAGCUAAAUACCGGCGAGAGACCGAUAGCGCACAAGUAGAGUGAUCGAAAGAUGAAAAGCACUUUGAAAAGAGAGUUAAACAGUACGUGAAAUUGUUGAAAGGGAAGCGCUUGCAAUCAGACUUGCUCGGGGUUGAUCAACGUUCCUUCUGGUUCGUGCACUCAGCCCCUCGCAGGCCAGCAUCGGUCCGGACGGCGGGACAAAGACCUCGGGAAUGUGGCUCUCUUCGGGGAGUGUUAUAGCCCUUGGUGCAAUGCCGCCUGCCCGGACCGAGGACCGCGCUUCGGCUAGGAUGCUGGCGUAAUGGUUGUAAGCGACCCGUCUUGAAACACGGACCAAGGAGUCUAACAUCUAUGCGAGUGUUUGGGUGUCAAACCCAUGCGCGUAAUGAAAGUGAACGGAGGUGGGAGCCCGCAAGGGUGCACCAUCGACCGGUCCUGAUGUCUUCGGAUGGAUCUGAGUAGGAGCAUAGCUGUUGGGACCCGAAAGAUGGUGAACUAUGCCUGAAUAGGGUGAAGCCAGAGGAAACUCUGGUGGAGGCUCGCAGCGGUUCUGACGUGCAAAUCGAUCGUCAAAUUUGGGUAUAGGGGCGAAAGACUAAUCG